UUUCUAUCGUCAUCGUGUUAAACCAGCCAAUAGCGCGCCAGGUGGAUAAGCCGGUUUGUGAUUGGUCCCCACAAAAUUGUAACGGAAGCAGGAUAGAAUAAUCGUACAGGUUUCCAGUCUGAGCUGCAGAGAGGAAUCAAAUCGCCGGCAGAUCGGGCUGGGUUACCCAGUCUACAUAAAAUCUGCACUUUUUUCUCAUUUUGACUGUUUUCUGUUUAGCAGAAGGAGGUGGAGAGUCUGAGAGUCUGACGGUGUAAACGCGUUUCCUCGCUUCAGGUGUGUUUUUGAAUUUUCCCCAUCUGUGGAAUAUUAUAGUGUUAAGAAAAUAAGAGUUGUGUGUCUGUUUUUUUAUAUUCAGGUCUGCGCUUUUAAUUUGAAAAGUCUGAAGAGUUUCCUGUCAGUAAACUGAAGUUAAACACAGCUGCACGGACGUCAACAAACAAACUGAAAUAUAAAACUCAGCGGGUGGAUGUUUCCGCAUGUUUCUGUGUCUGAGGUGCGUUUGAUUUACAGACUCUGUCGGGCUGUAAAGCGGUGUUACCGUGGAGAUGGGAGGAGGUUUUGUGUGCUGUGCAAUAUUCCUUUUUGUAAAUGUUUAAUUAUUAAUAAAAUGUUUGUAUGUC